CACUUAGCAGUAUCAUCAUUACUAGAACAAGAUGAAAUUAUUGGCUGGUGUUUUGAUUUUCGGACUACUUUUUGUCCAUACAGAGGCAUGGUUGACCCCAAGCAUCCGAAUCCCAGCCGUCCGAAUCCCAAGCAUCCCACCAAUCCGAAGCAUCCCAAUGCCACGAAUACCAGAUAUCCGAGUCCCACGAUUUCGUUUGGGAUGGAAAAAACGGGAUGUGAUUCAAGACUCUCAGUAAGACGAUAGUGAUAAAGAUAUGACCUGGUUAUGUCCCUGGAAUAACGACAUUGAUAGUGAUAAGGAUUUGACCCAAGACCUUGGAAUAAUGACCUGGCUAUGUCUACGGGAUAACGACAUUGAAAUUAUAAUUUAUAUGAUAAAGCUGUA